rnacentral:lncRNA from 1 species
AAGCUUUUGCAAGCACAAAGUCUCCGGUUGUCAUUCCAGGGCUGCUGUGCCAUAGCUACAUUUAGAAAGUUGCAGGAGAAAAUAAACUGAUUAACAAGCAGCGAAACCUGCAAAUUAUGCCUCACUUAGGCUUAGAUUCAAGAAAACCCAGACCAAGCUUGGGAUUCUAAGAGUCUCUCCGUGCAAGCUGACCUCAUGGAGAAAGUGGCAGAGCUUGUCCCUUCCACUGGGAGACCCUGGAGUUCAUUCAGGAGACUGGAUGCCCCUGGGCUCGGGCUGCACUGUGGACCCCACUGUGGAAUCACCACUCCCAGGCUGACCUCAGGCAGGUUCCAGAUCUGUUCUCCACUUCUGCAACAAAACUUACCCGGGCCAUGGUUUUAUGCAGAAAUCUGACAAGGCAGGUCCAUCAAGAGGUUUCCAGAAGAAGGCAUCGCUAUCACAGGAGAUGGCAGCUCCAUGCCUGUUACUGCCCCUGAAGAUGUUCCAGUGGGACAGGGUGUGGAGGUGGAAGACAGCAACAGUGACGAUCCUGACCCUAAAUUGACCAGAUUGCUUUGAGGAACUAAGAAGCUGUUAAACCUUUGGAAGAACUGGCCUGAUACGUUGUCUACAUGGUUCUCCUACAAGGUGUAUGAGUCCAUUUUUAUGCUGCUGAUAAAGACAUACCUGCAACUAAGAGGAAAAAGUUGUUUAACUGGACUUACAGUUCCACAUGGCUGGGAAGGCCUCAGAAUCAU